rnacentral:lncRNA from 1 species
CGCACUCCGGUAGGCUGCGCUGCUUCCCCUUAAAAAAAAAAGGUAGGUUGCGCUGCUCCGCCUCCUCCUCCCUCGAUUCCGGUGGCCGCAGCACCUCAUCCCCAGCCAUUCUCGUCUACGUUCGUCUCCCAGUCAACACUCCCGCGUGACACGGCGGCUCCUGAUUGAUUUUCCCUAGCGCAUCUUCGCGCCCGCAGCCACCCGGCGCGUGCGGCCGCCUGGGAAUCGGACAUCAAACCUCGGGAAGCUGGAGGCCGGUGUAGCGCAGAUGAUUCCACAGUCUGCGGCUGCGGAUGUGGCUCAGAGGUAAUUCGCCUAGUUUUUUUUCUUUGGUGAACUUGAAGUUACAGUUUGAAUUUUUGGGUGCAGGUAAUCGCAUUUUUAUGUCGAUUUUGCCCGUAGUUGCUUUUAUAGGAACAUUUAUCAUAUCAGCAGCCCUCUUUGUACUCGAUUUGAGCUGUUCAUUUUGUACACGGGGUUGUUUUUGUACACCUUUUGUUUUCUAUCAAGGCUGCUGGCUAGAGAAACAGACAUCAUUUACAUUUAUUAUGCAUUCAGCAAGCGAACAAUACACAACUUUGGUAGAUUCGACAAAUAUAAUAGUAACACCCAAUUGCAGGUGGAUAAAAAGAUGUGAACAAUUAAGGCAUGCUUACCUCUAUCCAAUCCAUUGCAUACUAGACCAAACCACAGUUGAAAUGGGCUAGCUUAGCCAAAAUAUCUGGAUAAUACUAGCUGGUCAUAUAGCACUCCUACCCCAAAGAACACACCGAAAGAAAUUGCAAAGAUGACCUCGUUGCUGCAUUGUUUUGCAGAGAUGAUGGAGACGGGAGCUGCUUCAACCGAACCACAAUGGUGCAUAAGCAUAGGGCCACACAGCUUUGGGUUCCCAUCGAAACU